GUCCAGACUCCUACGGGAGGCAGCAGUGGGGAAUAUUGCACAAUGGGGGAAACCCUGAUGCAGCGACGCCGCGUGGGCGAAGAAGUAUUUCGGUAUGUAAAGCCCUCUCAGCAGGGAAGAAGAAAUGACGGUACCUGAGUAAGAAGCACCGGCUAAAUACGUGCCAGCAGCCGCGGUAAUACGUAUGGUGCAAGCGUUAUCCGGAUUCACUGGGUGUAAAGGGAGCGUAGACGGCGGUGCAAGCCAGAUGUGAAAGCCCGGGGCUCAACCCCGGGACUGCAUUUGGAACUGUGCUGCUAGAGUGUCGGAGAGGCAGGCGGAAUUCCUAGUGUAGCGGUGAAAUGCGUAGAUAUUAGGAGGAACACCAGUGGCGAAGGCGGCCUGCUGGACGAUGACUGACGUUGAGGCUCGAAAGCGUGGGGAGCAAACAGGAUUAGAUACCCCCGUAU
rnacentral:rRNA from 1 species